rnacentral:rRNA from 1 species
CCUACGGGUGGCAGCAGUGGGGAAUAUUGCGCAAUGGGCGAAAGCCUGACGCAGCGACGCCGCGUGAGGGAUGAAGGUCUUCGGAUCGUAAACCUCUGUCAGCAGGGAAGAACGGUCACUGUGCUAAUCAGCAGUGAAUUGACGGUACCUGCAAAGGAAGCACCGGCUAACUCCGUGCCAGCAGCCGCGGUAAUACGGAGGGUGCGAGCGUUAAUCGGAAUUACUGGGCGUAAGGCGCUCGUAGGCGGUAUGUCAAGUCAAGGGUGAAAUCCCCGCGCUCAACGUGGGAACUGCCUUUGAAACGGGCAACUGGAGGGGGGGAGAGGGAAGGGGAAAUCCAGGGGGAGGAGGGAAAUCC